rnacentral:tRNA from 1 species
GGGGGUGUAGCUCAGCUGGCAGAGCGCCUGCUUCGCAAGUAGGAGGCCGGGAGUUCGAGUCUCCUCAUCUCCACCA